GACCACUCACGGGAAACGUCAGUACAAAAGGUAAAGAAUGUUUGUUUGUAAUUUUCAAUUUAUGGAUCCAAAUUUUAUGAUUAAUUUUCAUGUUUAUAUUCACCGGUGUUCAAAGUUGGUGGAUUUUAAAGCUAAAACUGCGGUGAGGAAAAAUCCGGAAAGGCCGAAAUUGCUUCCCCAAAAAUCACCAGAUUUCACACCUGGACUGAACUAAGCAGUUGAAGUGGAAGAAAAUUAACAGCAGAUAAUCUAAAGGGUAGGUUUUAUGUAUCGUUCAACAUUAUGAACAGAUACUCAUAUUGUUUCGUACUUUUUUUUUUUUCUAUUUUCAGGUUUUGAGUCA